rnacentral:rRNA from 1 species
AUUGAACGCUGGCGGCAUGCCUUACACAUGCAAGUCGAACGGCAGCACGGGUGCUUGCAGCUGGUGGCGAGUGGCGAACGGGGGAGUAAUACAUCGGCACAUGUCCUGUAGUGGGGGAUAGCCAGGCGGAAGCCGGAUUAAUACCGCAUCCGAUCUACGGAUGAAAGCGGGGGACGUUCGGGCCUCGCGCUCGCGGGUUGGCCGAUGGCUGAUUAGCUAGUUGGUGGGGUAAAGGCCUACCAAGGCGACGAUCAGUAGCUGGUCUGAGAGGAAGACCAGCCACACUGGGACUGAGACACGGCCCAGACUCCUACGGGAGGCAGCAGUGGGGAAUUUUGGACAAUGGGCGAAAGCCUGAUCCAGCAAUGCCGCGUGUGUGAAGAAGGCCUUCGGGUUGUAAAGCACUUUUGUCCGGAAAGAAAUCCUUGGCCCUAAUACGGUCGUGGGAUGACGGUACCGGAAGAAUAAGCACCGGCUAACUACGUG